UGAACAGUUUUCUGAGAAUGUUUCUGUGUCUACUAGAAGUCACCUGGUCUCUGUGUUUGUUCGAUCCUAGGGGUUUUGUCGCCUCAUUCGAGAACUCACCAGUGAAUACCUGCCUGCUCGCUCCGCCGAUUCCACUGCCUCCACUCCACCCUUCGAGCUUCCAGCUCUCUUCCAUUCCCACCUCGCAUUUACCUUCGGAACCGCUGCACACCCUCUCUCAGGAACCUGGCAUCUCACACCCACGCCUCGAAAGACCCGCACCGAAGCUUCAAGAGGAUCAGCGUGUGAAGAUCACUUUAUAAUGAUUUGAAAAAGGUUGCCAUGGCUACAGAAAUUGGAGGAGCAUCCUUAGAUGACACAAUACAACCAGCUGUGCGAUUCCUCAUGUCCCAUGAACUGGAAGUCCAGUUCAACCUUUUUGGCCAACAUUGGAAACAAGCUCUUGGACCUGCGUCUCUUUGAUGUUUUGUAUGGGGACUUAAAAGAAAUUAUCCAUCUACAGAAUCACACAAGCAUACAGCAAAGACUCUCGAAGUGGUUUACUGGAGCCCGAGUGGAAGUGGAAAUAGACUAGAGAGA